UAUUGAAAUCAGAAAAAUCGUAAGGAACUAGAAAUGUUUCGAUAAAUUCAUUUACUUAUGUUGCUGAUGUUUACAAGUUACAAAAACUAGAUAUGGUAUUGUCUGCAAUGCAUUUUGGCGAUCUGGAUUCUUCGUGAGAAGAGCUACUCUAAAAAUAAUUCCACCCAAUAAACAAAGAGAAAUUAUUAUCCUGCGAGAAAUUUAUAAACUUAGAGAUUUGAACCACAGGAAUAUUGUGACAUUAUAUGGAGUUUCUAAGGAUCUCGAUAACAGAAUUUGCAUCAUUUAUGAGGGUGAAGAUUGUGGAUCACUGUACCAUUUAUUGCAUUAUACAGAGGAAAACUUUAAUAUCUGGCAGAAAAUAGAGUGGAUACAGCAAUGUGCCCAAGGAUUGGCGUACUUGCAUAGCAAAAAUAUACUACAUCGGAAUCUAAACCUAGACAACUUAAUUAUUUUCAAUAAAUAUCGCUUAUUGAAAAUAUGCAAUUUGGGAAAAGCGAAUGAAAUUACAAUAAGUAACCCGGAUUUUAAUAGAAUAGUUUGUUAUGUGGCACCCGAAGUUUGGGUCGGGCGGAAAAAAGAAAUUCUCAAAAGCGGCUGAUGUUUACAGUUUCGGCAUUAUUUUAUGGGAAUUAAUAUCGAAAGAUAUUAAGAAUCCGCUUGACUUUUAUAGACAUAUGGCUGACGUGAUGCUUAGUGUAAAAUGUAUUAUUGAACUUUGCUGCCAGCAAAAUGACACAGUACGUUCAAUGAUUAAGAAACUGAUUCAAGAUUUCUGGAUAUUGGAUAAAGAUGCUUUAAAAUCAAAGAACAAGAGACGCGAAAUAUUGGGUCGUAGUGUUUAUGAUAUGGAAAUUUUUUAUCAUCUAUUAUUCAAAGAUAAAUAAUACAAAAAAUUGCAUU